rnacentral:rRNA from 1 species
AGUGAACGCUGGCGGUAGGCCUAACACAUGCAAGUCGAACGGCAGCACAGUAAGAGCUUGCUCUUACGGGUGGCGAGUGGCGGACGGGUGAGGAAUACAUCGGAAUCUACUUUUUCGUGGGGGAGAACGUAGGGAAACUUACGCUAAUACCGCAUACGACCUACGGGUGAAAGCAGGGGAUCUUCGGACCUUGCGCGAUUGAAUGAGCCGAUGUCGGAUUAGCUAGUUGGCGGGGUAAAGGCCCACCAAGGCGACGAUCCGUAGCUGGUCUGAGAGGAUGAUCAGUCACACUGGAACUGAGACACGGUCCAGACUCCUACGGGAGGCAGCAGUGGGGAAUAUUGGACAAUGGGCGCAAGCCUGAUCCAGCCAUACCGCGUGGGUGAAGAAGGCCUUCGGGUUGUAAAGCCCUUUUGUUGGGAAAGAAAAGCAGCAGGUUAAUACCCCGCUGUUCUGACGGUACCCAAAGAAUAAGCACCGGCUAACUUCGUG